rnacentral:lncRNA from 1 species
UAGGGACUACAAUUUAGGACUACAAUUCUAGACUUGAACCCUGGUGUAUUAGUCAAGCUCCGGCCAUAGCGACAGAGUGACUCUCGAUCCUUAUCAAGGCCAUAGCGACAAGAUGGGAUAGGAUCAUUGAAGGCAAGGCGACAAAAUGAUCCUUGGUCUAUUAAGGCCAUAGCGACAAAAUAGAUUGAAAACGAGGGUAUCGUUGAUUGUAGUCGAAAAUUUAGAAUAUCGGGCUAGAUUCGUAAAUGAGAGUCCGAUUUAGAUUCUUAAGUCGCACUUUGGACUCAUAAAUCGUAAACUAGACUUGUAAUCGCAAUUUUAGUCACUUUGGACGUAAAUUGGAUUUUGUAACCAUCGCUUAGAUUCGCGGGUCGUAAGCUAGGUCUGAGCAGCGUGUAUCAUCCAGCCAAAGCGAUGGAUGAUACAUGAGGUUGAAGAGACGGAUGUCAUCUAGCCGGAGCGAUGGAUGAUUGAUCCGUCUGAAGCGAUGGAUGAUUAUUCUAAAAAUGGUACUGCAUAUAUCUCUAUGGGUUAAAGAGAGAUUUAUUUAGAAUAAUAUCGCUAUUGAGAAUACAUGAGAAAAGCAUGAGCGACAAAUAAAACAAUCGACAUGUUUUGGUCGCUGGUUGCCACUGACAGAAGCAUAGCCUGCAUGGUUACUCUGGCCAAUCCUAUCUCUUAACAGGUGAUAGUUCCUCACUACUAAUGUGAUGCAUUUGAUUGCGAGUGUGAACUGUGGCUCUGGUUGCCAUCACUGUCAUAGGAUUGAGAGCGUGGGCUAUGGUCAUAACUGUUACUGGGCCGAGAGUGUGAGCUAUGACUUUCGUGGCCAUAACUGUUACCAGACUGAGGGUGUGAGCUAUGGCUUUCGUGGCCAUAACUGUUACCAGACUGAGAG